UCCGGUGGCGAUAGCGGAGGUGUUACACCCGAUCCCAUCCCGAACUCGGCCGUUAAGCCCUCCAGCGCCGAUGGUACUAUAGAGUCGCUCUAUGGAAGAGUAGGACGCUGCCGGAU
rnacentral:rRNA from 1 species